GCAAGUCACAUCCUUGUUUGCACUGUAUGAGGCUGUAUGCAAAAUCCAGAGGGGGGCAGAGAUGGAGGGGGCAACCCAAAGCCUGGCUGGAACCUGGAACCAGGACACCUGGCCUGCCAAUUACAUGCCACCUCAUAUGAAUUCCCUUAAAUCUGCACCUUCUUCUGAUAAGCAAAAUGCAGCCCUUCUGCUCUGAGGAAGAAAAUACCAUUAAAAAGAAGGCAGACCACCAAACAGCACUGGCCAUAAGCCACAAGUUCACUCUAGGACAAAACAGCGAUGUUCCCCAAGGAAAAUUCACUGCGAUCUGCAAGCCCUGGCAACCAACCGAGAGAAAGAACCAGGAAGGCAAGGACAGUGAUCAUGUUGCUAGAGCCUGCUUUGCACACACGUCAUCAACAGACAGCAGUCAACAAGCUGCCUAGGGCCUCUGCAGAGCCAGAUCAACCCCACAGCCUGUGAGCCAGGCCUUAAGCUGCCUAUUUGUGCUGAAGCGGGCUGCAGAACGACCCGUGUUAUCCACCCUGAGCACCACCAACACUAAGCACAAAUGACAACACCAUCUCACCUGAACCCUGUCCAACUCACAGCUGCCUCACUGGCCUUUGCCACUGCCCUCUCUGAUGGAGCAAGGGUCUGGCCUUCCAAGCAAAUGUCAGCCUCAGAUUCAAAAGACACAUAGGAAGGAGCAACACCCAACACACUGAAAACUCCUGCCCGAUCCACAAAGACCCCAGUGCAAGCGAUGGGCAGCAUCAGAUUGAUGGAAACCACACCCUUUCAUUUAGAAUUUUUAUGCACACGAGUAACCUUAGUUUCCAAGUUCACAUGACAACAAGCAAAAGUGACAUACAGUGCAGCCAAACAGUUCACUUAUAACUUAGCUUUUUUUGUUGUUUUUUUUGUUUUUUGUUUUUUUCCAAAGAAUAGUUCCUUAAAAUGGAUGCUCCUGGGAUGUGAAUAAAGAAAAUACGUCUGAAAGGAACACUGAGGCCAAUCUGCUGGACAGAGCUCCCU
rnacentral:lncRNA from 1 species